UGUUGUAGGUGUGUGUGUCAGUGCACUUCUCUACACGUCAUAGGCUGUUUUCAGUUUCGCCGUGUCUUGUCUGGCAUUUAUUUGUGUCCUAUAAGGUCACUUACUAAUUCCCAAAUGGGCCUAACAAAAUAUUUACUUCUUGGCGUGGUUGUUGGCUACGUUGGAUUCCUCCUCGUUGACAGAUUUGAUCCAGCAAGUAUAAAUGGCAAGCGAGUGGUCAUCACCGGUGCUAGCACGGGUAUAGGGGAGCAGAUAGCCUACCAGUAUGCCAGGCUUGGGGCAAGGGUUCUCAUCACAGCACGCAGAGAGGCGAUGCUACAGCUGGUGGUUGCUAAGUGCAAAGAACUAGGAGCCCAGGAGGCGUUUUAUCUUGCACUGGACAUGGGCAAAGAGACCGACAGCAGGAGGCUAAUUGACGAGGCCAAGGCGAGGUUUGGUGGUCUGGACCAUCUCAUUCUGAACCACGUUGCCUAUGGCACCAUGUCAGUGUGGUCAGGAGAAUUGGAUGAGUUGAGACAGGCCAUGGAUGUCAACUUUCACUCUUACAUUAGUCUAGCAAGCUUUGCCACGCCGAUGUUGGCAGAGAGCAAAGGGAGCAUUGGAAUUGUCUCGUCAGGCGCAGGAAAAGUCGGAUUUCCAUUUGUAUCCAAGUACUGUGCAGCCAAGUUUGCCCUUCACGGGUUCUUUGGGGCAUUACGGCAAGAGUUCCAGUUGCAGAACAUUGGGAUCUCUGUGACAAUAUUUGUUCUCGGAUCAAUCUCCACUCGGAAUGCAAUAGAUCAUGCCGAGGGCAUGCUUCGCACCUACCAGUACGUGACCACGCCUUCCGAGACCGCCCAUCGCAUCAUGACGGGAACCGCCAACAGGGAGCGUGAGGUCUACUUUCCCUUGCACCAGAUUGUACUCUUGCCCCUCUUGAGGGACUCGGCCCCACGCCUCCUGGAGGCACUGAUGCACGGUGUGGUGAAACCGGAAGUCCGUGACGAGCUACUCAGGAGUUCUAAUCAUUUUUCCACCAAGGACUAAUAGGGCGACUCCUAACUUGUCUUGUUGCCAAACAAAUAAUUACUUAGACACUUGGGUCCAAUUUUUCAGAACUGGAUUGGAGAAUGAGUGAUUUGAGGGACUGUAGCAUGUGCAUUCUGGAUACAUCGUCGUGACCAUCAGAGGCCUCAAGGUACUUUAAAAU
rnacentral:misc_RNA from 1 species